rnacentral:lncRNA from 1 species
AAAAUAAGUCAAUCUGGUUUUAAUUACUGAUUGAAUGGCGCAUUCAAUCUUCACAUCAAUCACACAUAAAUUAACAUAAAAAGUACAAUCAUACAAUACAUCACAUUUAGACUGAAUGUUUUGUAUACAGAUGUAUUGACAUCGGGUCUGACAUCUCAGCAAAAUCCUGAACAUCCACAUUUUAAACACCCUGCAGGAUCCUGUUAUCUUAUGUCAAGACAACACUUGUGACAACUUG